GUUUGCUUCGGCAGCACAUACUAAAAAUUGGAACAAUGCAGAGAAGAUUAGCAUGAACAAUGUGCAAGGAUGACAUGCAAAUUCGUGAAACAUUCCAUAUUUUU